CAUCUCUUGUGCUUACACACGCAGAAACCCAGAUGUCAGCCUGGUACGAGUCAAAGUGCCGGGCUGCUUUUACAGCCCCAGCAGCACAGAGAGCACGAGGGCACAGCGCUUGCCACUGGAAGAAAACCUACUUUGAAUACUUGGAAUAUUUAACUGACUGCAACAGAUAAUUAGCCAAACCCUCUUACGCCUCCAAAUAUAGAUUCAUUAGUCAUAUGAAAAUAUCUCAUUGGAACCAAAUGUGAGUCAUUAGUGAAGUCAACGGCAGAUCAUAAAAAAGGGCAAUGUUUUUGUUGGCUUGGAGUUUUGGAGUCCCUUGCAUUCCGAGCAGCGAGUGCUGUAACCAGAUGCUGCUGCCGCGGGGACCCCAAAAGCGACCAAGUUCCUCCAGAAGUGACACCAGGAUGGCUAAAAUCACCACGAGGUGCAAAGAUGCGGCUGUAGGAUUUAACAAGCAAAGCGAGCUGGCAGCUCUUUCAUAACAACAUAGCAGACGCGUGAUGGGUGGUCAGGGAAAGGGACCCUGCCUGAUUAAACCCUUGUAAAA